rnacentral:pre_miRNA from 1 species
AGCCAGCCCCUGGGCUAGGCUGCGCUGGGCUGGGCAAGUAUCUCUUUGAAAGGCUCACCCUCAAGCAUGACUAGGAGC